rnacentral:lncRNA from 1 species
GAUAAUCGUUUAUUAUCCAUGCUAUAAUUGUAUUGAUUGGAAACACAAUACUUGUGUGGAUACAUAGACAAAACAUUGUCCCUAGUAAGCCUCUAGUUGACUAGCUCGUUGAUCAAAGAUGGUCAAGGUUUCCUGACCAUAGGCAAGUGUUGUUACUUGAUAACGAGAUCAAAUCAUUAGGAGAAUCAUGUGAUGGACUAGAC